UACGUAGGCAGCGAGCGUUGUUCGGAAUUACUGGGCGUAAAGCGUGCGCAGGCGGUUCGCUAAGACCGAUGUGAAAUCCCCGGGCUUAACCUGGGAACUGCAUUGGUGACUGGCGGGCUAGAGUGUGGCAGAGGGGGGUAGAAUUCCACGUGUAGCAGUGAAAUGCGUAGAGAUGUGGAGGAAUACCGAUGGCGAAGGCAGCCCCCUGGGCUAACACUGACGCUCAUGCACGAAAGCGUGGGGAGCAAACAGG
rnacentral:rRNA from 1 species